rnacentral:rRNA from 1 species
CGGCGUCGUUAAUAGCGGCGUUGUUUGACGUUAGCGACACGAAAGAAGCACCGGCUAACUCCGUGCCAGCAGCCGCGGUAAUACGGAGGGUGCGAGCGUUAAUCGGAAUUACUGGGCGUAAAGCGCAUGCAGGUGGUUUGUUAAGUCAGAUGUGAAAGCCCGGGGCUUAACCUCGGAAUAGCAUUUGAAACUGGCAGACUAGAGUACUGUAGAGGGGGGUAGGAAUUUCCAGGUGUAGCGGUGAAAAUGCGUAGAGAUCUGAAGGAAUACCGGUGGCGAAGGCGGCCCCCUGGACAGAUACUGACACUCAGAUGCGAAAGCGUGGGGAGCAAACAGGAUUAGAUACCCUGGUAG